GACGAACCGUGCGAACGUUAUUCGGAAUCACUGGGCUUAAAGCGCGUGUAGGCGGGACGGCACGUCGGUCGCUGAAAUCCCCCGGCUCAACCGGGGGAAGUGGCGCCGAUACGACCGCCCUGGAGGGACGUAGGGGGGCUGGAACUUCCGGUGGAGCGGUGAAAUGCGUGAGAUCGGAAGGAACGCCCGUGGCGAAAGCGAGCCCCUGGACGUCUACUGACGCUGAGGACGCGAAAGCCAGGGGAGACGA
rnacentral:rRNA from 1 species